UGCUACGCUUCCCAAGGUGGGGAUGUUCUGAGAGGAGAGAAAGCAGGGAUGGAAGUCAUUAGCAGCUUUAUGUUUUGCAUAGAAGAUGACAUUUGUAUGUCGCUGGGAUUGCAUCAGCUGGCAUACUCUGUUCAGAGAAUAACAGUAGACAGAAAUUGAAAGUGAACUUUCGUUUGGUCGCCAAAUAUCUGUCUGACUUUUCUAUUUCUACAAGACAUCCAAUGAUAUUUAUGGAAAAAUACGAGGUAAUUUUCUCCUCUGCUUCUGUUCUUAGUAGUUCCUGACAUGCCACUAUCUUAGUACCACCUGCUCUGCUCUCAAAAAUGAUUAAAAUACCAGAGACUACCUACCUUCCCAGCCUCUAGUCAUAGAUGUAUCUGAUUUGGCCUCUAUAACUAUCAGAAAUUCACAGGAUGUCCUUAGCAAAUCGUUUUGCAUUACCCUAAAAAUCACAUCUGGAAACUGAUGAUCUGAUGACAGUUUCUUAAUUAUGCCUAAUUGAUGUUAGCACCCUCCAAC